GGAAUACCAAGAACCACCAGCUUCCGAUCCAUGAUGAAUUGGCGCAGCUAACGCAGAGAAAUUGAACCCUAAAAGUGAAAAAGUAUAUCUCUCUCUCCUCCUCUUCUUCCUCGCUCGCUCGCUCGCUCAAAGACCCACGCUCACUCUCCCCAAAUCUCUCGCACUCGCUCCCUGCACAUGAUAACAAGACGAGGCACACCUCUU
rnacentral:misc_RNA from 1 species